GGUUAAGCGACUAAGCGUACACGGUGGAUGCCCUGGCAGUCAGAGGCGAUGAAGGACGUGCUAAUCUGCGAAAAGCGACGGCGAGGUGAUAUGAACCUUUGACCCGUCGAUGUCCGAAUGGGGAAACCCAGUGUGAUUCGUCACACUAUCGUUAACUGAAUACAUAGGUUAACGAGGCGAACCGGGGGAACUGAAACAUCUAAGUACCCCGAGGAAAAGAAAUCAACCGAGAUUCCCCCAGUAGCGGCGAGCGAACGGGGAGCAGCCCGGAGUCUGAAUCAGCUUGUGUGUUAGUGGAAGCGUCUGGAAAGUCGCACGGUACAGGGUGACAGUCCCGUACACGAAAAUGCACAGGUUGUGAACUCGAAGAGUAGGGCGGGACACGUGGUAUCCUGUCUGAAUAUGGGGGGACCAUCCUCCAAGGCUAAAUACUCCUGACUGACCGAUAGUGAACCAGUACCGUGAGGGAAAGGCGAAAAGAACCCCGGCGAGGGGAGUGAAAAAGAACCUGAAACCGUGUACGUACAAGCAGUGGGAGCACCUUCGUGGUGUGACUGCGUACCUUUUGUAUAAUGGGUCAGCGACUUAUAUUCUGUAGCAAGGUUAACCGUAUAGGGGAGCCGCAGGGAAACCGAGUCUUAACUGGGCGUUAAGUUGCAGGGUAUAGACCCGAAACCCGGUGAUCUAGCCAUGGGCAGGUUGAAGGUUGGGUAACACUAACUGGAGGACCGAACCGACUAAUGUUGAAAAAUUAGCGGAUGACCUGUGGCUGGGGGUGAAAGGCCAAUCAAACCGGGAGAUAGCUGGUUCUCCCCGAAAGCUAUUUAGGUAGCGCCUCGUGAACUCAUCUUCGGGGGUAGAGCACUGUUUCGGCUAGGGGGCCAUCCCGGCUUACCAACCCGAUGCAAACUACGAAUACCGAAGAAUGUUAUCACGGGAGACACACGGCGGGUGCUAACGUCCGUCGUGAAGAGGGAAACAACCCAGACCGCCAGCUAAGGUCCCAAAGUCAUGGUUAAGUGGGAAACGAUGUGGGAAGGCACAGACAGCCAGGAUGUUGGCUUAGAAGCAGCCAUCAUUUAAAGAAAGCGUAAUAGCUCACUGGUCGAGUCGGCCUGCGCGGAAGAUGUAACGGGGCUAAACCAUGCACCGAAGCUGCGGCAGCGACGCUUAUGCGUUGUUGGGUAGGGGAGCGUUCUGUAAGCCGUCGAAGGUGUGCUGUGAGGCAUGCUGGAGGUAUCAGAAGUGCGAAUGCUGACAUAAGUAACGAUAAAGCGGGUGAAAAGCCCGCUCGCCGGAAGACCAAGGGUUCCUGUCCAACGUUAAUCGGGGCAGGGUGAGUCGACCCCUAAGGCGAGGCCGAAAGGCGUAGUCGAUGGGAAACAGGUUAAUAUUCCUGUACUUGGUGUUACUGCGAAGGGGGGACGGAGAAGGCUAUGUCAGCCGGGCGACGGUUGUCCCGGUUUAAGCGUGUAGGUGUGUGUUCCAGGCAAAUCCGGUUCACUUUAACACUGAGGCGUGAUGACGAGGCACUACGGUGCUGAAGUGAUAAAUGCCCUGCUUCCAGGAAAAGCCUCUAAGCAUCAGGUAACACGAAAUCGUACCCCAAACCGACACAGGUGGUCAGGUAGAGAAUACCAAGGCGCUUGAGAGAACUCGGGUGAAGGAACUAGGCAAAAUGGUGCCGUAACUUCGGGAGAAGGCACGCUGAUAUGUAGGUGAAGUCCCUGCGGGCGGAGCUGAAAUCAGUCGAAGAUACCAGCUGGCUGCAACUGUUUAUUAAAAACACAGCACUGUGCAAACACGAAAGUGGACGUAUACGGUGUGACGCCUGCCCGGUGCCGGAAGGUUAAUUGAUGGGGUUAGCGGCAACGCGAAGCUCUUGAUCGAAGCCCCGGUAAACGGCGGCCGUAACUAUAACGGUCCUAAGGUAGCGAAAUUCCUUGUCGGGUAAGUUCCGACCUGCACGAAUGGCGUAAUGAUGGCCAGGCUGUCUCCACCCGAGACUCAGUGAAAUUGAACUCGCUGUGAAGAUGCAGUGUACCCGCGGCAAGACGGAAAGACCCCGUGAACCUUUACUAUAGCUUGACACUGAACACUGGUCCUUGAUGUGUAGGAUAGGUGGGAGGCUUUGAAGCGUGGACGCCAGUCUGCGUGGAGCCGUCCUUGAAAUACCACCCUUUAAUGGCUGGUGUUCUAACGUGGACCCGUGAUCCGGGUUGCGGACAGUGUCUGGUGGGUAGUUUGACUGGGGCGGUCUCCUCCCAAAGAGUAACGGAGGAGCACGAAGGUUAGCUAAUCCUGGUCGGACAUCAGGAGGUUAGUGCAAUGGCAUAAGCUAGCUUGACUGCGAGAGUGACGGCUCGAGCAGGUGCGAAAGCAGGUCAUAGUGAUCCGGUGGUUCUGAAUGGAAGGGCCAUCGCUCAACGGAUAAAAGGUACUCCGGGGAUAACAGGCUGAUACCGCCCAAGAGUUCAUAUCGACGGCGGUGUUUGGCACCUCGAUGUCGGCUCAUCACAUCCUGGGGCUGAAGUAGGUCCCAAGGGUAUGGCUGUUCGCCAUUUAAAGUGGUACGCGAGCUGGGUUUAGAACGUCGUGAGACAGUUCGGUCCCUAUCUGCCGUGGGCGCUGGAGAAUUGAGGGGGGCUGCUCCUAGUACGAGAGGACCGGAGUGGACGCAUCACUGGUGUUCGGGUUGUCAUGCCAAUGGCACUGCCCGGUAGCUAAAUGCGGAAGAGAUAAGUGCUGAAAGCAUCUAAGCACGAAACUUGCCCCGAGAUGAGUUCUCCCUGAGACUAUAAGUCUCCUGAAGGAACGUUGAAGACGACGACGUUGAUAGGCCGGGUGUGUAAGCGCAGCGAUGCGUUGAGCUAACCGGUACUAAUGAACCGUGAGGCUUAACCUU
rnacentral:rRNA from 1 species